GACGAACGCUGGCGGCGUGCUUAACACAUGCAAGUCGAGCGGAAAGGCCCUUCGGGGUACUCGAGCGGCGAACGGGUGAGUAACACGUGAGUAACCUGCCCCAGACUUUGGGAUAACCCUCGGAAACGGGGGCUAAUACCGGAUACGACACAGCUUCGCAUGGGGUCUGUGUGGAAAGUUUUUCGGUUUGGGAUGGGCUCGCGGCCUAUCAGCUUGUUGGUGGGGUGAUGGCCUACCAAGGCGACGACGAGUAGCCGGCCUGAGAGGGCGACCGGCCACACUGGGACUGAGACACGGCCCAGACUCCUACGGGAGGCAGCAGUGGGGAAUAUUGCACAAUGGGCGGAAGCCUGAUGCAGCGGCGCCGCGUGCGGGAUGACGGCCUUCGGGUUGUAAACCUCUUUCAGCGGGGACGAAGCGUAAGUGACGGUACCUGAAGAAGAAGCGACGGCCAACUACGUG
rnacentral:rRNA from 1 species